rnacentral:rRNA from 1 species
UACGGAGGGUGCGAGCGUUGCUCGGAAUUACUGGGCGUAAAGGGCGCGUAGGCGGAUGUUUAAGUCGGGGGUGAAAGCCCAGGGCUCAACCCUGGAAUUGCCUUCGAUACUGGACAUCUUGAGUGCGGGAGAGGUGAGUGGAACUCCGAGUGUAGAGGUGAAAUUCGUAGAUAUUCGGAAGAACACCAGUGGCGAAGGCGGCUCGCUGGACCGUUGUUGACGCUGAGGUGCGAAAGCGUGGGGAGCAAACAGG